AUUGAACGCUGGCGGCAGGCCUAACACAUGCAAGUCGAACGGUAACAGAAAGCAGCUUGCUGCUUUGCUGACGAGUGGCGGACGGGUGAGUAAUGUCUGGGAAACUGCCUGAUGGAGGGGGAUAACUACUGGAAACGGUAGCUAAUACCGCAUAACGUCGCAAGACCAAAGAGGGGGACCUUCGGGCCUCUUGCCAUCGGAUGUGCCCAGAUGGGAUUAGCUAGUAGGUGGGGUAAAGGCUCACCUAGGCGACGAUCCCUAGCUGGUCUGAGAGGAUGACCAGCCACACUGGAACUGAGACACGGUCCAGACUCCUACGGGAGGCAGCAGUGGGGAAUAUUGCACAAUGGGCGCAAGCCUGAUGCAGCCAUGCCGCGUGUAUGAAGAAGGCCUUCGGGUUGUAAAGUACUUUCAGCGGGGAGGAAGGGAGUAAAGUUAAUACCUUUGCUCAUUGACGUUACCCGCAGAAGAAGCACCGGCUAACUCCGU
rnacentral:rRNA from 1 species